rnacentral:lncRNA from 1 species
GGAAUUAGCUUAGACUGUGUGGUCCAAACCUAGCCAAUAGGGAAACAACACAGCAGUAGGGGCUACCUGUGUCAGGGAUAAGAACCCCUUCCCCUCCCCCUUGUUUAGGUGUGCUCUCGCCAUUGCUCCAUCUGUGAGACGCACCCUUCUUUAGAAGUAAAAUUUCUUUGCUGAGAAAAUUCAUAUUAGAGUGCUAUUUCUUUUGCAGCACUGAAAAUUUAUUUCCAACAAAUUUGGGGGUUCAUCUAGGAUUCCCAUUCUCCUCUGGGAAAGGGUCUUCUGCCUCUCCCAUGAGAAGGCGUGCCCCACUGCCUUGUUGUGGCGGCCUCAGGGGUAAGGAAUCAAGACCCACCUGGUGUGAUGAAUAAACCUGGACUCUCAGCGAUGCAGGAAGAAACAGGCUGGCAGCUUGGGGAAAGGAUUCUUACAUACCACGGCGACCAGGUAACUCUGUGCACAGACCCAGAACUAAAGGUCUUUCAGCACACGCGCCACCCCUAGAGUUUCCAGUACACCAACAUCAGCCUGAGGACCACAUCCUCGUCAAAAGUUGGAGGGAAGGAAAACUCGAACUGGCUUGGGAAGAACACUUCCUAGUGCUUCUAACCACCGAGACUGCAGUUUGAACAGCAGAAAGAAGAUGGACUCAUCACACCUGGGUCAAAAGAACACGACCCCCUCCAGAAUCAUGGGCAGCUAUUCCUGGGCCAACUCCAACGAAGCUAAAGCUUGGUUUGAUCCUCUUACAUUGCAUCUCUUUCUUUUCCCCUUCGAUUGCUAGACCUCUCAUUAGUAAUGUAACUAGGUCAAGUUCACCCCAAACUACUACUUUUGAUGCUUGCCUUGUGAUGCCCUGUGGAGAUUUGCCUAACCAGAGGUAACUCUCCACUUCAGAAAAGUAUCUUUAUCCUUCCUAGCUCUCCUCAGACUGGAAAUCUGUUAACUGGGAUAGGUUAGUUUGGGAUGAGUUUGACGAAGAUUCUAGUAUGAACUGGGAAUCUUGUCCUCCUAGAGCAGAGCUUCUCUGCCGAAGUUGGUCCAAUGCUCUGUAAAAUACUGAAGAGCAAGGAUGGACCACCCCAACUAGUACUUGCAGUUUCUUAAAACCAUAUAUUCAUUUUACUACAAGAGUUAACCCUCCCCAUUGUCAGCUGAACCAAUGUAAUCCAGUACAGAUUACCAUCGCUGCUCCCCAGAGUUCUUCCCCUUCAUUAAGCUGUUUCUAUGGUAUUGGAGCAGAAGUCUCAGGGAAGGACCCCAUGGGAUCCUUUGCAAUGCACUUCGUCGCCUCCUCACCUCCUGCACCCACUUCUCCCUCUCCUUAGUUCUCCGGUAACCAAACCUUCUCUCGUUAUAUACCCAAUGAUAAAACCAAAGUAAUUGUUGUACAGGUUAAAGAUUCAAAACAAACCAUAGCAACUGAAACAGGGUAUCAGGACGCAAAUGCUUGGCUGGAAUGGAUUAAACAUUCUGUUUGCAGGCUAAACAAAAGCGCCUGUUACACUUGUGUGACAGGCAGGCCAGAGACCCAAAUUGUUCCCUUUCCACUUGGGUGGUCCUCUCACAGACCGGGCACGAGCUGUGUGGUAGCUCUCUUCCAGAACCCCACAGCCUGGGGUGGUGAGUCAUGCAAGACUCUUUCACUGCUGUUCCCUGAGGUCAAGAGCCCUGCGGGUCAGCCCUGAAGACUAUCCGGCCUCCAGCCCCUGAUGUUAACUUCACCUCAUGCCUUUCACGGCAGGGGGAAAAGUUAGCAUUCCUUGGAGACUUAACAGGGUGCAGUGAAACCAGGCCUUUUGAAGAGCUUACCAAUCAGUCUGCCCUUGUUCAUCCCCGAGCAGAUGUGUGGUGGUAUUGCUGGGGACUACUGCUGGGUACUCUGCCAAGUAAUUAGAGCAGCACUCAUGCUCUAGUCCAACUGGCCAUCCCUUUCACCCUAGCAUUCUGUCAAUAUGAUAAAAAAAAAAUUGUAAAAGAAGUGCCUCACGUGGGUCCUUUGACCCCCAUGUUUAUAUAAACACUAUUGGAGUUCUAUGAGGAGAACCAGAUGAAUUUAAAGCCCGAGAUCAAAUAGCUGCAGGAUUUAAGUCAGCAUUUUCAUGGGUGACAAUAAAAACAUAGAUUGGAUAAAUUACAUCUAUUAUGAUCACCAGUGGUUUAUUAAUUAUUCCACGGUUGCUGUCAAAGGGAUAACAGAACAACUGGGGCUCACCAGCCAGAUGGCCUGGAGAAACAAAAUGGCCCUGGAUAUGAUAUUAGCCACAAAAGGCGGUGUUGGUGUUAUGAUUAAAACUCAGCGUUGUACCUUUAUCCCAAACAACACUGCCCCCACUGGGGGCAUAACAAGAGCCUUACAAAGACUUACUGCUUUAUCCAAUAAACUAGCUAAACUUCUAGAGUCGAUAACUCUUUCUCAGAGUGGCUAGAAAGGAUGGUUUGGUAAAUGGAAAGAAAUCACAGCCUCAAUUCUUCUCUUGCAGCCUUAGUAGGUGUACUCGUUCUCGUUGGGUGUUGUGUCAUACCAUGCAUCCGUGGGCUAGUAUAAAGACUUAUAGAAGCAACACUUACUAAAACUUCCCUUAGCUCUCCUCCACCUUAUUCAGAUCAGUUUUUUCUUUUAUAGGAUUAAAUUGAACAACAAAGCCAAGACCUGUUAGAAAAGUUUGAAGAGAAACUACUAUGAAAAUUGAAAAGGGGGAAAUUGUAGGAUAAUAAUAAUAAAUUCCUGUCCAAAGGUUUUAGCCUGUAAAUUGUUAAGUAUAAAGUUCUGAGAUCCUCUCCAAAGAACCAAUGUAUCAGUAUGUUCAGCUCCCCUGUUCUUUGUUCUACAUUAUAAAGUUUAACUUCCUCAUUCUUUAUGUCUCCUUGCACCUAGUUUCAGUAAACAACCCCCUCCUAGCCUCUAUCACCUGCUCUGACCUUAGUCACCCUUCGUCACCUACUCUGUUCUUAGUCAUCCUGAGUCACCUGUUCUGUAACCAUCAUUCCCACCAAACUGCUCACCCUGCCUCUCUGGCUCAUACCCUUGCUGUCUUUAAAAUAGCCAGUCAGAAUUAGCUUAGACUGUGUGGUCCAACCAUAGCCAAUGGGGGAAUGACACAGCAGUAGGGGCUACCUGCAUCAGGGAUAAGAACCCCUUUCCCUCACUUGUUCAGGUGUGCUCUCACCAUUGCUCCAUCCAGGAGAUGCACCCUUCUAUAGAAGUAAAAUUGCCUUGCUGAGAAAA